CAGCUUCUUCUUUAUUUAGCUCAUAUUCUAAAUCCACCAAAACUUCCAUAUUAGCCAAAGCAUCAAAUUGGGAUCCUGAUUUUCCUUUCUCCUUAAAGUUUGUUUUAUUUAUAUUAUUAUUCCUGGGAUUACGCUUUACUUUCCUUUCGAUCACUGUCCAUGGCCCGUAAACGGCGCCUUCUCCUCAGCUUACAGCCUCUAUCGGAGUAGCGCAUUUCUAAUUCUUUCCCGAUGUGAGAUCUGGUUGCAGCGAAGCACACAGCUCCUUAGUAUGACCGUACUUCCCGCAAGUAAAACAAAUUGUAGGCAACGCUUCAUACUCAACUUUUUAAUGUAAACCAUUCAUAAGAACUUGAACGAUCAGAGGCUUGUCCAGGUUGACAUAAACGGCCAUCCUGGCAAAGCGACCUCUAAUUCGACUAUUGGUAUUGAAAUCUAACCGAACAACUUUUCCAA
rnacentral:lncRNA from 1 species